rnacentral:rRNA from 1 species
UACAGAGGGUGCAAGCGUUAAUCGGAAUUACUGGGCGUAAAGGGUGCGUAGGUGGUUAGAUAAGUUAGGUGUGAAAGCCCUGGGCUUAACCUGGGAAUUGCGCCUAAUACUGUUUAGCUAGAGUACUGUAGAGGAAGGUGGAAUUUCCGGUGUAGCGGUGAAAUGCGUAGAUAUCGGAAGGAACAUCAGUGGCGAAGGCGACUUUCUGGACAGAUACUGACACUGAGGCACGAAAGCAUGGGGAGCAAACAGG